rnacentral:rRNA from 1 species
AGCGAACGCUGGCGGCAGGCCUAACACAUGCAAGUCGAACGAACCCUUCGGGGUUAGUGGCGGACGGGUGAGUAACGCGUGGGAACGUACCUUUUGGUUCGGAACAACACAGGGAAACUUGUGCUAAUACCGGAUAAGCCCUUACGGGGAAAGAUUUAUCGCCGAAAGAUCGGCCCGCGUCUGAUUAGCUAGUUGGUGAGGUAACGGCUCACCAAGGCGACGAUCAGUAGCUGGUCUGAGAGGAUGAUCAGCCACAUUGGGACUGAGACACGGCCCAAACUCCUACGGGAGGCAGCAGUGGGGAAUAUUGGACAAUGGGCGCAAGCCUGAUCCAGCCAUGCCGCGUGAGUGAUGAAGGCCCUAGGGUUGUAAAGCUCUUUUGUGCGGGAAGAUAAUGACGGUACCGCAAGAAUAAGCCCCGGCUAACUUCGUG